rnacentral:rRNA from 1 species
GUGGGGAAUAUUGGACAAUGGGCGAAAGCCUGAUCCAGCCAUGCCGCGUGUGUGAAGAAGGUCUUCGGAUUGUAAAGCACUUUAAGUUGGGAGGAAGGGCAGUAAGUUAAUACCUUGCUGUUUUGACGUUACCGACAGAAUAAGCACCGGCUAACUUCGUGCCAGCAGCCGCGGUAAUACGAAGGGUGCAAGCGUUAAUCGGAAUUACUGGGCGUAAAGCGCGCGUAGGUGGUUUUGUAAGUUGGAGGUGAAAUCCCCGGGCUCAACCUGGGAACUGCAUCCAAAACUGCAUGACUAGAGUACGGUAGAGGGUAGUGGAAUUUCCUGUGUAGCGGUGAAAUGCGUAGAUAUAGGAAGGAACACCAGUGGCGAAGGCGACUACCUGGACUGAUACUGACACUGAGGUGCGAAAGCGUGGGGAGCAAACAGGAUUAGAAACCCGAGUAGUCC